rnacentral:rRNA from 1 species
AAUAGAUACCCUGGUAGUCCACGCCGUAAACGAUGUCGACUUGGAGGUUGUUCCCUUGAGGAGUGGCUUCCGGAGCUAACGCGUUAAGUCGACCGCCUGGGGAGUACGGCCGCAAGGUUAAAACUCAAAUGAAUUGACGGGGGCCCGCACAAGCGGUGGAGCAUGUGGUUUAAUUCGAUGCAACGCGAAGAACCUUACCUACUCUUGACAUCCAGAGAACUUAGCAGAGAUGCUUUGGUGCCUUCGGGAACUCUGAGACAGGUGCUGCAUGGCUGUCGUCAGCUCGUGUUGUAAAAUGUUGGGUUAAGUCCCGCAACGAGCGCAACCCUUAUCCUUUGUUGCCAGCGGUUCGGCCGGGAACUCAAAGGAGACUGCCAGUGAUAAACUGGAGGAAGGUGGGGAUGACGUCAAGUCAUCAUGGCCCUUACGAGUAGGGCUACACACGUGCUACAAUGGCGUAUACAAAAGAGAAAGCGACCUCGCGAGAGCAAGCGGACCUCAUAAAAGUACGUCGUAGUCCGGAUUGG